CCCGGCACUACCGUGCCGGGCUUUCUCAUGUCGCCGCUGCGCGACU
rnacentral:sRNA from 1 species